GAGUUUAAGCUUGGCUCAGCUUGAAUACUAUCUAAUAGCUAGACAUGCGAGUCGUACGAGGAUAAUAUAUAAAUUAUUCUAGUGGCGUGAAGGUGAGUAAUGGUAUAAUUAGGACACCUAGACCCGUCUUAAAUGGAUGAUAAGGGGAAUUUUAUUUUUAUAGGAUUCUUUGAAAGGGUUGUACUUGGUUUAGGUUCUGUUAUAUUCUAAGUAGCUAGUUGGUAGGGUAACUGCUUACCAAGGCUAUGAUUAGUAGUCAGUCUGAAAGGAUGUAUGGCCACAGUGGGUAAUAAACCCAUCAUGUUAUAUUUAGCAUGCAGCAGUCGGUAAAAUUGGUCAAUGCUUGAAAAAGUGAACCAGCUAAUUAGAUUACGUAUAAUCAUCGUAUACGUAGUAGGAUAUAUUCAUAAUGAGAAUCUAUAUCUGAGUAGUCCUUGACAAUUCUGGUGCCAGCAUCAGCGGUAAUACCAGAAGGGCGAGUAUCAAGCAUAAUAAAUAGGCGUAAAGGGAUCGCAGACGGUUUUAAUAUUUCUUAUAUUUAGGAAACUUAUUGAAACUAGAAUCUAAUGGGUGUUUUGAGCACGUUGGGAGUAGGGGUAAAAUCCGUUGAGACUCAAAAGACUACUAAAAGCGAAAGCACAAAACAAUUAAAGAUUGACGUUGAGGAUCGAAAGCAUGGGUAGCAAAAGAGAUUAGAGACCUCUGAUAGUCCAUGCCGUAAACGAUGUCUGUUCAUAUGUAGCAAUUUUUCCGCUAUAUAUUUAGUUAGCACAUUAAACAGACCGCC
rnacentral:ncRNA from 1 species